GGGAAUUCGCCAGAGUUGGAGAGCUGGAGCAGACUGUAAAUCUGUUGUGUAAUGCUGAGUAGGUUCGAAUCCUACAAUUCCCA
rnacentral:tRNA from 1 species